AGACCGCGCUGUCUGCCGGACCGGAACCGGUCGGCUCGGACCACCUGUGCGUUUGCUGCUUUGUGGGCGCUGUACUGACUGCGGUGCGCUUGACUGGACCCGGUCAGCGCUGACCGCCUACGUUUUGACUGUAAUGUAUUGCAGACUGUAUUGCUUUCUGACUGCUGUGACCUCCGUGCGCCCAACUGGACCUGUUUGCCUCCGGGGCAACCGCACGGUUCUGGGUGUUGACACGGAGCGGUGCUACGUGACUAGCGGGUACGCUGGACUGGACUGUGUGUCAGCAUAGAUCAGCACACUAAACCCGGCUGCUCAGUUCUGCUGUGCUACCUCAGACCGCUGCCUAUUUUAUAACACACACACACACAUACACACACACACACACGCACACACACACAAACACACACAAACACAGGCGCACAUGCCCGCACAGACGCAAGGCACUGUUCCUGACCUAUAAACACACAGCACUGGAACACACCUAAAGUCUAACACGGGUUACUGUACUGUCAGGCAGGUGUUGCAGUCUAAUGUACAGCGCUACACUGGGUCACAUGCUGGUGUGCUUGUACUAUACUUCCUACUGUAAGCCACAAUACUGUAGCCAGAGGGCUGUGUUUCUACUGGCCCGCCAGUUUCCAGCGGUCAAUCAGCACUUAGCAGUUAGAAAUGGCCAGUGUGAUGUUUGCAGCAUACCGUGGUACAUGUGUGUGGAGUGCAGUGUGCAGUUGUCAGAGUGCACUGUGUAAUGGUCAAUGUGCAGUAGUCUGUGUGCAGUGUGCAGUGGUCUAAGUGCAAUGUGUUGUGGUCUUAUUGCAGUGUACAGUGGUCUCUGUGCAGUAGUCUAAAUCCAGUGUGACAGUGUCUGUCUGCAGUGGUCUCAGCGCAUUGCGCAGUGGUCUGUGUGCAGUGAUCUGUGUGCAGUAUGCAGUGGUCUGAAUGCAGUGUGCAGUGGUCUUAUUGCAAUGUGUUGUGGUCUUAGUGCAGUGUACAGUGGUCUCAGUGCAGUGUGCAGUGGUCUUAGUGCAGUGUGCAGUUUUCUGAGAGCAGUGUGCAGUGGUCUGUGUGCAGUGUGCAGUGGUCUGAAUGCAGUGUGCAGUGGUCUUAGUGCAGUGUGUUGUGGUCUUAGUGCAGUGCGCAAAAGUCUCAGUUCAGUGUGCAGUUGUCUAAAUGCAGUGUGCAGUUGUCUGUGUGCAGUGGCCUCAGUGCAGUGUUCAGUUGUCUAAAUGCAAUGUGCAGUUGUCUGUGUGCAGUAUGCAGUGGUCUUAGUGCAGUGUGCUGUGGUCAGUGUGCAGUGGUCUCAGUGCAGUGUGCAGUGGUCUCAGUGCAGUGUGCAGUUGUCUGUGUGCAGUAUGCAGUGGUCUUAGUGCAGUGUGCAGUGGUCUCAGUGCAGUAUGUUGUAGGGCUGUUCCAGAAUUCAGUACUACCGGUUGCCGUGGUAAUGAAUUGUCACUGGGGUGAUGACAGAAUUACCAGGGUAAUAUGGUGAUUAUUUGUUUUCCCUCAUUAUGCUGAUUGAAGUGAGGGCACAAUGCCCACAUGCACUGGCCAGAUGCAUUAGAGGAUGAACCGAGUGGGCUGCACACAAACCUACUGUACACUCCCUCCUCACGCGUCUCUUUAAAGCUGAACUGCUGGUAGUCAUCGCAGGGCCACACAGUGCACCAGAGCGAAUGGGGAGAGAGUCCUGGGUUUAGGACUGGAAAGUUAUUUAAUCACUAAAACUAUUGAAUGAAUGUUUUGGUGGGAACAAUUUCUUAUGGUGCAUGCAACCUCAGACUGCUGUACUCAAUAAUUACCAUCAUUAUACCGUGUGAAAAUUAAUACUUAAGUUUAUAAUUGUACAUAAAUGCGAUACAAAUAUUGUUUUUGUCUGUAUAUUCUCUGGAGGCAACGUCACUGUACGCGGCGCUUUGUAGGUUCAAGUGCAUUUUCACAAACUCACAAAAGCUCCUUUACCAGCCUUUAUGAAGCCGUUUGUGUAAGUAUCUGAAAUAUCCUUCAUCUCACACAGCACUAUCUGGCCCAAUCAAAAUCAUGCAUUACAAUUUAAAUAGCAUCAAUGAAAAUAAAACCCACCAAAAAGCAAACUAUCUGUUUAAGGGUCCACUGUGUUAAGGAUUAAGUAUGUUAAGGGUUCAUUAUGCCAAGAGUCCUCUGCUUUAAAGAUUUAGUGUUUUAAGGAUUUUGAUAAUUAAGGUUUCAGUGUUUUAGGGGUUAAGUGUAUUUAGGGUUCAGUGUGUUAAGGAUUCACCACGUUAAACGCUCAGUGUGUUAAAGAUUCAGCAUGUUAAGGGUUCACUGUGUUCAGUGUUCAGUCUUUUAUGAGGUUGGAGCAUUAAGAGUUCAAUGUUUUAAGGGUUCAGAGCUUUAAUGGUUCUGUGUGUUAAGGGUUUAGUGUGUUAAGGAUUCAUGCAUUAAGUGUUCAGUGUGUUUAGGGUUCAGUGCAUUGAGUGUUCAGUGUGUUUAGGGUUCAGUGUUAUAUGUGUUCAGUGUGUUUAGGGUUCAGUGUGUUAAGGGUUUGGCUUGUUGAGGGUUCUGUGCAUAAGAGCUCUGUUGCUGUGGGGUUCAGAGCUCAUAACCAGAUGGCGGCUUAAAGAGCUUAAAGAGACUGGGGUGCAGAAGCUGUGUCUGAGCCAGAGGGACAAGCCCUGACAGAAUGCCUCUGUGUGUCUGACUCCGCCCACAACACCCACUCCUGUGUGUUCCUGCACCUCUGACUCCACCCACUGUGGGACAGCACCUGCUAACACCCACUCCUGUAUGUCCCUUUAUUUCUGGAAUGCAGCCAGGGUGCUGUCUGGAUGUUUAGCUUUCCUGCGCUAAAGGUCUUAAGGUUGUUUUUGCUUCUCAGGUUACCUGUGAAAAAUACGGCAUAAUACAAAGGUCAGCUCAAUGUCAACAGCAUGGACAUUCUGAGUUAAUGCCAAUAAUUCAGUCAACGAAGUGACUGAAAAUGUGUGUCUAAGUGAUCAUGUCACUCUGACCAAAUGAGCCUCAUCUCAUCUUCCUUUCCUGGUGGGAGGAGCUUUGGUAAACACUUACAGACUCUCAGAGAAAAACUACAUCUGUGUGCCGGUCAGUCAACCCGUCUGAUUGGUUGGAAAGUCAUUCAUUAAACACGGUACUCAGUGCGUAUGCGGUCCUCAGUCUCGAAGAGCUCCAGGCUCUGCUGGUUCUCAGUGUUACUCCGGACUUCAGAUCAAUUAAAUGUGUCGAUUAAAGCAGUUGGUUACACAGGUAACUCCCCGCG